rnacentral:rRNA from 1 species
GACGAACGCUGGCGGCGUGCUUAACACAUGCAAGUCGAGCGGAAAGGCCACUUCGGUGGUACUCGAGCGGCGAACGGGUGAGUAACACGUGAGUAAUCUGCCCCUGGCUUUGGGAUAGCCACCGGAAACGGUGAUUAAUACCGGAUACGACCACUUCUCGCAUGGGAUGGUGGUGGAAAGUUUUUUCGGCCAGGGAUGUGCUCGCGGCCUAUCAGCUUGAUGGUGAGGUAAUGGCUCACCAUGGCCUCGACGGGUAGCCGGCCUGAGAGGGUGAGCGGUCACACUGGGACUGAGACACGGCCCAGACUCCUACGGGAGGCAGCAGUGGGGAAUAUUGGACAAGGGGCGGGAGCCUGAUCCAGCAACGCCGCGUGAGGGAUGCCGGCCUUCGGGUUGUAAACCUCUUUCAGCAGGGACGAAGCGCAAGUGACGGUACCUGCAGAAGAAGCACCGGCCAACUACGUGCCAGCCGCCGCAGUAA